CCUACGGGUGGCAGCAGUGAGGAAUAUUGGUCAAUGGACGAGAGUCUGAACCAGCCAAGUAGCGUGAAGGAUGACUGCCCUAUGGGUUGUAAACUUCUUUUAUAUGGGAAUAAAACGUUCCACGUGUGGGAUUUUGUAUGUACCAUAUGAAUAAGGAUCGGCUAACUCCGUGCCAGCAGCCGCGGUAAUACGGAGGAUCCGAGCGUUAUCCGGAUUUAUUGGGUUUAAAGGGAGCGUAGGUGGAUUGUUAAGUCAGUUGUGAAAGUUUGCGGCUCAACCGUAAAAUUGCAGAUGAAACUGGCAGUCUUGAGUACAGUAGAGGUGGGCGGAAUUCGUGGUGUAGCGGUGAAAUGCUUAGAUAUCACGAAGAACUCCGAUUGCGAAGGCAGUUCACUGGACUGCAACUGACACUGAGGCUCGAAAGUGUGGGUAUCAAACAGGAUUAGAUACCCCAGUAGUC
rnacentral:rRNA from 1 species